rnacentral:rRNA from 1 species
AUUGAACGCUGGCGGCAUGCUUUACACAUGCAAGUCGAACGGUAACAGGCCUUCGGGUGCUGACGAGUGGCGAACGGGUGAGUAAUGCAUCGGAACGUACCCAGAGGUGGGGGAUAACGCAGCGAAAGCUGUGCUAAUACCGCAUGUGAUCUGAGGAUGAAAGCGGGGGACCGAGCAGCAAUGUUUGGCCUCGCGCCUUUGGAGCGGCCGAUGUCGGAUUAGCUAGUUGGUGGGGUAAAGGCCUACCAAGGCGACGAUCCGUAGCUGGUCUGAGAGGACGACCAGCCACACUGGGACUGAGACACGUCCCAGACUCCUACGGGAGGCAGCAGUGGGGAAUUUUGGACAAUGGGCGCAAGCCUGAUCCAGCAAUGCCGCGUGCGGGAAGAAGGCCUUCGGGUUGUAAACCGCUUUUGGCAGGAACGAAACGGUGUCCGCUAAUACCGGGCGCUAAUGACGGUACCUGUAGAAUAAGCACCGGCUAACUACGUG